CAUCACAUACCAUGUGAAUCGAAGUCAGAUUCCCCAAUAUUUUUCGUCGUUUUUCCGAGUUUUCCCGGAUUUUCGGUGCAAUUUUCACGCGAGUGUUUUGAGUUUACUUGUAAUGUAUAGGAGCCUUCACAUACGGUGCAUAAAAAAGUUUUCAAGUGAUCAAAAAGUUUGAAAAAGUUGAAGUGAAGUGAUAAAGGUGGUUUUAAAAGUGGUUUCCUUGUUAGAUUUUUUUGAAAUUUGUUUAAAUAUUUUUGGGUUGGUGUAAGGUUUAGUAGUCAUCAUCCACCCUACAUAUUAAUUAUGUUCAACACCCACAUCACCAACAAACAUAAUGGAAAACACUAACAGUAGCGCUGUAACAGCUUACAACAACAGUUUUAAUGGACAAUUAAUUCUUUCCUCCAAUAAUCAAAUCAACAUAAUCAAUAAGAACAGUGAUCUGAAAAAUGGUUAUCAAGAUGACCCCAAAAAUGUAAAUCAUGAUGUGAAUUUGUGCUGUAUAGAGGUUAAAAAUAGUGACAAUGGUGCAGAAACUUGUGAUGCCAAAGUGUUGAAUGAUACAGAUUUUAAUGCGGCAAAAGUGUUCAAUGGUGUAGAACCAAAGUAUGUGUCUAUAAUUGAUGUAAAUUCGUCUCCGGAUUUUGUGACAGUGAAUGGGGGUGUGGAUGGACCUCCAAAUAGUGUGUAUACAAAUGGGGACUGUGACAAAGAUGGUUUGGGAAAAGUGCAUGUUGCCAGUUUGAAUGGUUUUGUUGCAGAUGGGAAAACACUAGAUUCUGAAGUAAAUUUAGGCACAGAAUAUUGUUCGCAGAAUGGUGAUGUAUUGAGUUUGAAAGAAAGUCAAACCAACUUUGGUGUGCAACAGGUUUUGUGUGCAGAAAAUGGUGUACAGGCAUUUAAUGUCAAUGGAGGUCCAGUUUUGGCAGAAUCUGAAGAUGUUCUGGUGUCGAAGUGUUUGAUAGGCGCAGAAUCUUGUUUUGGUGGUUCCUUGGACAUCAAUGGUUCAUCAAGAUUGAUCUCUGAAGAGGGUCUAGGUUCCCAGCAACUGUUGAAGGUUGAAACUGUUGAUAGGAAUCAUCAGAAUUUGUGUUCAACCAAUUCAGGAACAUCUGAUGAAGAUGUUGAUGGACAUCAUCUGAUAAUUUCGGAUAAGAAUCACCAGAAAUUGUGUCAAUCCAAUUCAGGAACAUCCGAUGAAGACAUCAGUGGACAUCAUCUGUCAAUGUCAGCCAUUCAGCAGAAAUUUACCAACCAUAUGAACAGCUUAGGUUCGUCUUCUGGUUAUGAAACAGAUCCCAAUGUUUCAAUUGUGGAUGUGAGUGUAGGUCCUGAUGAUAUUAUGAAGUCUUCUGAUGCUGGGAAGGUUGGUAGCAGUGGAGACAGGGUUGGGGGUGAAGAGAUAAAGAAUGAUGGUAACCUUGGAGGGUCAAUGGUGACAGAUGCAGAAGAGGAUGAGGGUGAUGAGUCCACAUCGCAAAGCAAUGGGAGAUCUUCAAGAAGUGUUGAUCCCGAUGAUUUAACCAAGAGUAAUGGGAAUUCUGCUAAGGGUGACAAUACAGUGUGUAAAAAUAGCACAGUUUUUUCAAGUAAGGAUGAUGUUGAAGAUGAUGACGAUGAUGAAGAAGAUUCCAAUAGAAAUGAAGACUCUUUCAUGAAUGAUAAUGAUAUUGAUGAGGCCAUGGCAAAGAGUGAUGAAGAAUCUUCCAGAGAAACUAGUCUUGAUGGUGUUGCUGUCAAGAGCAAUGGACAUUCUUUGAAAGAUGAUGUGGAGGGAGAAUCUUCAAGUAAAAAGAGUUCUUCAGGAACAUCCAGAGGUGCCAGUGCAGAAAGUGGACAAAGUAUGGAUGUUGAUGAUAAUGAAGAGGCAUCAAGGAAAAAUGCUUCAAGUAGUUAUGGAAAUGAUUCUGUCGAUUGUUCUGCAGAGGGAAUUUCUGACACAAAUGACCCAAAAAUGUCUGGAAGCCCUGGGGCAGCACUUUCUGCCAAAAAUGGGACAAAACCGUCUGCAAGUCGUGGAGCAGGAAUCCUUGCCAAAAAUGACUCAGAAUCCUCUGCAACCUCUGGAGCAGAUAUUUCUGCCAAAAAUGGCGCAAAACCUUCUGCACCAUCUGGUGUAGAAGAUUCUGCCCCAAAUGGCAAACAUGCAGAACGUCAUGUUGGUGAGGAUGAUGAAGAUGAUGAUGGUUCCUGUUUGGAUGGUUAUUCUACCAACGAUGAAGAAGAUGAUGAAAUUGAUGCCAGAACAAAGGAUCUAAAACCUAAGAAGCCGCAGUUGCAGAGGACACGCAGUAAUGCUGGAUCAACUGACUACUGGAAUGAGGAAGGGGAAGAUGGAUGUAUUGUGGAGUUCUUGGACAAAAGCACUGAUUGUGCUGAAGCUCGUUUGGCGGCAAAACGACAGGCAAGAGCGGAAGCGCGCGAAAUUCGAAUGCGAGAGUUGGAACGUCAGCAAAGAGAAGCCGAAGAAACAGCUGAUAAAGUCUACGAUAUCUACAGCACACCAGAUGCCGUCCAACGAUCGUCGCGUGUGGCAGCCGCUAUUGCGACACCUCGCUCUCUCUCUUCCAGGGAGAACCAUCGCAGUGAGAGGGAGAGAGAGAACAACAGUUAUCAUUCGUCGCGGCGGAGCUCUGAAGAUUCUCUGGAGGAAGCCACUAGUCUCAGGGAUAUGAGGCACGAACUGAAGGAGGUGGAGGAUAAGUUUCGGAAAGCUAUGAUAGCCAAUGCGCAAUUGGACAAUGAGAAGGCGGCUGCAGCCUAUCAGGUGGAACUGCUCAAAGAUCGGCUGGAGGAGAUGGAUGAAAAUCACUCUCAACUCAACAGAGAACAUCGUGACAAGUGUAGACAAUUCGAAGCUUUAAAAAGAGCGGCUGCCAAAUUGCAGGAAGAUUUAGAAUUCACCAGGGCACAACUAGAAGAUCGAGAUCGACUUAUCGAGGAACAAGGUCUCGUGAUAGUGGGAGGGGAGUACUCGUCGAGUGGAGAGGACGAUGAUCAUAGCGGAGGUGAUAGUGGCAGGCUGAGCAAAACACCGAAAACACCGAAACGGGCGCUAGUGUCCUCACAGGUCGCUGAGGUCCUUGAGAAGGUCGGCACAGGGUCUUUAGACGUACGACUAAAAAAAUUCGUCGAGCAACGCAAUGAACUUCUAGACGAACUGAACCGCGUCAAACUGGAGUUAGAGGAAGAGCGCACACGUAACCGAGGCGGCGCCGCUAACCGGCGGUUAGCUAACGGCCCGUUAAGCGUUGACGGCGGCUUGAGCUCGGGUUUGGACGACAUUGAGGAGGUGCAGCGAGAGGCUAACAAGCUGAUCGGCGAUUACAAGUUCCGGUUACAAAAGGCUGACCAGGAUAACAGCACACUGCAAGCUACGGUUGCCAGAUUAGAAAGCCAGGUAGUGCGAUAUAAGACGGCUGCAGAAAUAGCUGAAAAAGUGGAAGAUGAUUUAAAAGCUGAGAAACGGAAACUACAGAGAGAGUUUCUGAACUCAGAAGAAAUGUAGCUUUUCUAUCUUUUAUCGAGAGUCGCAGGCGAGAGUCGAAGAACUGGAAACUGCUCACUCGCACCUACAGAAACGAUUAGAUAAAUUGAAAAAUGCAAAAUCAGCACUUUUAAAAGAACUGUAGCAAGACUGCACCACUCAUAACAAAUGAGUGGUGAUUAUAUCUACUACGCCAGCGAACUAGUGCGUUUGGGAUACAAGAACUUCGAAUUUUAUUACUACUUAU